AUUGAACGCUGGCGGCAUGUCUUACACAUGCAAGUCGAACGGCAGCACGGGUGCUUGCCCCUGGUGGCGAGUGGCGAACGGGUGAGUAAUACAUCGGAACAUGUCCUGUAGUGGGGGAUAGCCCGGCGAAAGCCGGAUUAAUACCGCAUACGAUCUACGGAUGAAAGCGGGGGACCUUCGGGCCUCGCGCUAUAGGGUUGGCCGAUGGCUGAUUAGCUAGUUGGUGGGGUAAAGGCCUACCAAGGCGACGAUCAGUAGCUGGUCUGAGAGGACGACCAGCCACACUGGGACUGAGACACGGCCCAGACUCCUACGGGAGGCAGCAGUGGGGAAUUUUGGACAAUGGGCGAAAGCCUGAUCCAGCAAUGCCGCGUGUGUGAAGAAGGCCUUCGGGUUGUAAAGCACUUUUGUCCGGAAAGAAAUCCUUGGCUCUAAUACAGUCGGGGGAUGACGGUACCGGAAGAAUAAGCACCGGCUAACUACGUG
rnacentral:rRNA from 1 species